GCGGCUUUAGCUUAAUAGAAAAGCACCUGGUUGUGACCCAGGACGAUACGAGUGCAAAUCUCGUCGGUCGCCCCA
rnacentral:tRNA from 1 species